GAACUGCACUCUCACUGGUCAUCCACCUGACCUCGUCCUGAGUCUUCCGCUUGAGAAGGAAGAGGACAGUUUAUGUGGAAGCUGGACAUUGACUCUCAGCAAUGACUGGGGUUCUUCCAACCCAAUCUUUUUUGCCUUAAAUGGAUCAACUCCAGAACGACCGCCAGCUUCAGGGAAAACAAUAAACAUUGAACUCGUGUACGGCAUAGUGGUGACUGUUGUUUUGAUUGCUGUAGUUACUACUUUUGCCAUUAGAAAGUUCAAAGAGAUGAGACAUGCAGAAAGAACUCGGCGUACAGAUGGGAGCAGAUAUCCGUACGAAAAUGUAAGAGGAAACUUACCAAGUGAGUUAUUUUUGUAAACAUAAUAUUUUGAUUAACUUUUUAUUAGUUUUUUUUAUCAGCUUUAUGUUUUUUAAUCGUUUUCACUUUUAAUUAAAAAAUAUAGUAAACAGAAAGGGGUGAACCUAGUUUGAUAGUCUGAGCUAGACUAUCCGAGUCGUCUCGGCUGAAAUAUCUGUUUCCAGCCAACUCCGAUACCAUGUGAUAUGCAAAUGAUGCUCGUGUCCUAAUAUCCGUCAUCCUCAAACGCGUAUGUGUAAUUCAACAACUCUUAAAACAGUGGUUAAGUUCAUUUUUUUUAAUUUAGCUUUUUAUUAUUGUAUUAAUAAAUAAAAGGUAAUCCUUAUUGUCAUAUUUUACUAUAAUUUUCUAUUUUAGCUUGUGAUAUUGAAAAAAAUGAAGUCACUAGCUCCAAUUUGAUUUUCUGAAUUAGAUAAAAUUAGGGGGAAGAAAUGGCAGAGAAUGGGUUAUCCGACUUGCUUUUUGCGUCUGAAGUGCGACAGCAGAGGAGUUCAUGUUAAAAUAACUGCCGGUUUUUUAAAACAUUUUAAUGUAAUAAUGUAAGACUUAUGUGCUUCUGAGUUUAAGAAACAGAAGCUAAACUCUCACUGUUUCGCAAGAGCUCUAAGCGCGUUUACUAAGUUUAUAAGUCGCCGCAUGGUAUGAACACCGACAGACAUAUUGGAUGUAUGUACGCGUCAGUGGUAUGAGGAACGAAAUGCAUCAACGACAGCAUUCCUUGGUAAGUACAGUCAAUUUUCCUGACAUAUAUCUAUUUUAAGCAUGAUUGAAAUUUAGACUUAUUAACGAAGUUCUGAAUUUAAUUUUUUUAAACACUUGUUUUCAUUUAAAAAAUUUAACUUAAACGUGUUAAUAAUAAUAAGUAAUAAUUAACUAAUAAACGUGUUAAAUUUUCUUAGAGCAGAAAUACAUAGGUUUCCUGUCAGCAUGGUUUCCUUGGUUUACUGGUUGGAUUGUUGUUAGGAAAUGACCUCCAACACAAAGCAAUUUAUUGUACAAAGUGAGAGAGACGAUUACGGAGAAGGAAGCGAGGCAUCCGUGAAACAAAGCUGGAGGGCAGAGUGGCAUAGAGAUCGUACCCCGAGCAAAAUAGAAGCCUGGUCAAUGUAAUCAAACUUUACUUCCAUCACCAACAGAGAGACCGCUGUUUGUAAGAAGAAAUCUGGAAAAGUCUGCUUCUUUGAGUUAACAUUCGCUCAGGGGCCUUUAGACAAGGCUCAUGGUGAAGAGGACUGUUUGUAGAACUGUUGGAGAAGCUGGAGACACCAUUCUGUAAUGGGAUGUUGAUGGACUGAUCAACUCAGACCUAGUUAUACAAUCACGAGUUCGCCCCAGCCACUGGAAUAAAAACAAAAUAUUCUAAUAUAUUCUAUAAAAUUCUGGAGGGAAAAGAUUUUCCCAGCCACUGUACAGCCUGUUACAGACAAGCUAAAAGGCAAUGAGAGGUUGAUGCCGAGACCAAUGGUCGUGAUUACUGUUUUGUUGUAAUGAACAAUUUAUAAAUUGAAAGCAAGCGUCGAAGAGCAUUUCACUGUUUGAGGUCUGACUGUUGAAAAAAUGUUUGCGAAUUGAAAAGGAACUGUUAUAUAAGUGUAAGAUCUGGUACAUGAAAGAAAGACAAAUGGAGAUGAUCUGAGUACAGGCCAAUUGUUUUUUAUGUUGAAAGUUUAAUGCGAGAACUAUACCAGAAUUUAUUGCUUAGCUUUAAAACACACACACACACAAACUGACAUGAUGGCAUGUGGAACAUAUCUUACUAGUUGAUUUUCAGAGUAACAUUGUGUUGGUCCUGCAUGUUUAUAUGUAUGUUUACUUUUUUAUUACACCUCUGUAUUUCUUUAACAGGGGGAGUACAUGGCUUCCAACUAGAUGUAGCUGUGGUUUCAUUUACAGGGUGUGUGGACACAAAGUGUUCUCCCUCUAUUAAAGUAAUACAGAGGCAAAAGAGUAUUUGUCAUCUUCUCUCACACUGCCUAGUUUUUUUCAUACAUUAUACAAACUUUAUAACAAAAUGUGCAUAAGAUUUUUCAGAAUUUUAUUUCGAGAUUCUUUUUGGCUUUUGGCUGACAUUUAUUACGAGAAAAGCAGGUAUACAAUCUUAUCCUGUACUAAUAUCCAGAAUAAAUUUCCAGAUUGUAAUUAUGUUGAGCAUUUUAAAAACUUAAGCAAUGCUGUUCAUAUCUACAAAAUGUACAUGACUUCAAUUUAUCUACAUUUUCUUGCACAGAAUAUAUUCACCUGUCCCUACUGUUAAUCAACCUCCCCUUUCACUCAAAAUGCUAUGUCACCAUCACGAUGACAUACAAAACCACACUUAAGACAAUCAGAAUAAGCCAAAGUAGACAAUAUUAAUAUUAAUGGGCUAAGUCAUUCCAAGGCCCCUUGUUUUCGUGAACCAAGGAUGCACCUUUAGAUGUCAACAUGGAGAACAUAAGGUCUAUCCAAGGAUUCAGGGAAUACCUAACACCCAUGAGAUGUGAUUCAACAUUACACAUCUCGUAAAAAGAUUUUUAAAAGGAUUCACCGUCGUAUUACUUACCAUUAUUCCUUAGUAUAUUAUAAAAUAGCUGGCAUUGUUUUUUUCUUAGACUUCUAUCAUCUUUGUUAAUCGCUUUCUGUAUAGAAUUUAUUCUGAGUUGCGUGUUGAUCACACAUUAUCUAAAUCAGAAUCGAAAUAUAAAUUCAUUCGUCUUUUAAUAAUUCCUUCUGUUGUAUUAUAUCUGAAUACAGAUGAUUUUAAAUCAUCAUGGAUGUGUUUGAUUCUGUGAUCUAUUAUCUAUAUAAUAUUUAAAAACAUUGUACAUUUGUAUAUGCAUGGUUAUUUUGGCAUAUACAUACAUGCAUAAAAACCAAACAUGAAUGACCUUCCCCAUCCCACCCCAACACAUAUCUACAGCAUCUCAAGCAAAACGGUUUUCCCUGUCUAUGCUAACUGAAGAUAUAACACUAAUACACGAGCUAAUAGUGACAGACUAGAGACAUAAAACACUUAAUCACUAAGCUUCAGGCUAUAGAAUACAUGGGUAACCAAAACAGCAGUUAUAUUUAAUACAAUAAUAAUUGCAUUUGUAUAGCACCUUUCGCCAGUAUUAACCAGACCCAAAAUAUUGUACAAUCAUGAGAGUUUAUCUGUACCAAGUGCUUCCCCAUAAAAAGAGUGUGGAAAAAGACGAUGUCAGUCUUAUAAAGAAACAAACCGCAAAGAUACAUUACAAUAAAAUACAAGGUGUUAGCAAUAACACACAAACAUCUUUUGGGAAAUUGCUGCUUUCAUUUAGUCAUGUGAUUGGUUAAAUAAAGGUACUAUUUGUAAUAAAACUUUUUAUAUUGUAUUA